rnacentral:snRNA from 1 species
GGAUAUCAGGAUGAUGUGGCUAUGGCACCUGUCACCUGUUGAUCACCAGAGAGUUGAUUCACUUGAUUGGACUGGCUAGGUGUGUGUUCUCUCCCUCCAUCAGUGUUCCAUGUGUGUCCCUCACAACGCUGCACACUUGGUCAAAGAGGACAAUCAUCGCUGAUAGAGGAAGACUGUUCCUAGGUGAAGAGUAUAUGGCUGGCUACACUGCCAUGCUAGAACCUCCAAGCAAGCUACUCACCCCUAACGGUAGUCAAUAGUGUAGCUGGACAUUGUCAAAAGGUGUCAGUGAAUUGAAUUUUUUU